UCCAGGGUAGCCUAGUGGACAUGGCAUCUGCCCCGGUAAGCGGAACAUUGUGGGUUCGAUUCCCAUCCCUGGAC